UUUCGCAAUGCCCGAAAGGGUGACGAAGCGACGCCGCGUGAGUGAGGAAGGCCUUCGGGUUGUAAAGCUCUGUCAGGAGUUAAGAAAUAUAAGUGUGUUAAUACCACAUUUAUUUGACGAAGGCUCCAAAGGAAGCCACGGCUAACUCUAUGCCAGCAGCCGCGGUAAUACAGAGGUGGCAAGCGUUGUUCGGAAUUAUUGGGCGUAAAGAGCACGUAGGUGGGUUUGUAAGUCAGAUGUGAAAGCCUUCUGUUCAACGGAAGAAUUGCAUCUGAAACUGCGAGUCUUGAGUGUAGGAGGGGAGAAUGGAACUUCUGGUGGAGCGGUGAAAUGCGUAGACAUCAGAAGGAACGCCGGCGGCGAAAGCGAUUCUCUGGCCUAUUACUGACACUCGGUGUGCGAAAGCUAGGGGAGCAAACGGGAUUAGAUACCCCGGUAGUCCUAGCUGUAAACGAUGGGCACUAAGUAGAGGGGUUUUA
rnacentral:rRNA from 1 species